AUGGUUGUGAUUUAUCUAAAGAAAUUUGAUGAAGAUCCAACGGUGGAGAGAAGUUGUGUGUCUUGGUUGCAGAAACCAGGUGGUUUUGGAGGUGACGACUCUGGUUGUUUCUGUGGUGGUGGUACUGCCGGUGAUUACGAGAUUUUGAUCGGUGAAACAGGUGAUGAUGGUUGCAGUAAAGAAGAUUUGAACGGUGGUUUUAAUGGUAGAUCCGACGGCUUCGGUGGUGGGGAAGGUCCCAGAGAUUGA